UGAAUACGAGAUGCUACGGCGUCGAAGCAGUCUAUGUCAUACUUCCAAGAAAAGCUUGCACUGUCAUAAACAAAUAAUGCCUGUACCAUAACCGACACAGGUGGGUAGGUAGAGUAUACUAAGGGGCGCGAGAUAACUCUCUCUAAGGAACUCGGCAAAAUGACUCCGUAACUUCGGGAGAAGGAGUGCCUUAUUUAUAAGGUUGCAAUAACAAGAUCCAAGCAACUGUUUACCAAAAACACAGGUCUCCGCUAAGUCGUAAGACGAUGUAUGGGGGCUGACGCCUGCCCAGUGCCAGAAGGUUAAAGAAGUUGGUUAGCAUCCGCGAAGCUGAUAACUGAAGCCCUGGUGAACGGCGGCCGUAACUAUAACGGUCCUAAGGUAGCGAAAUUCCUUGUCGGGUAAGUUCCGACCCGCACGAAAGGCGUAAUGAUUUGGAUACUGUCUCGGAGAGGGGCUCGGUGAAAUAGACUUGUCUGUGAAGAUGCGGACUACCUGCACCAGGACAGAAAGACCCUAUGAAGCUUUACUGUAACCUGAAAUUGAAAUUGGACUUUACUUGCGCAGUAUAGGUGGGAGGCGUUGAGAAUAUUCUUGCGGGAUUAUUGGAGCCAUCAGUGAGAUACCACUCUUGUAAUGUUAGAUUUCUAACUUUGUAUCAUUAUCUGGUCAAAGAACAGUUUCAGGCGGGCAGUUUGACUGGGGCGGUCGCCUCCUAAACGGUAACGGAGGCGCACAAAGGUUUCCUCUGAACGGGUAGAAAUCGUAUCUAGAGUGUAAAGGCAUAAGGAAGCUUGACUGUGAGACCUACAAGUCGAGCAGGGACGAAAGUCGGUCUUAGUGAUCUGACGGUGCUGAGUGGAAAGGCCGUCACUCAACGGAUAAAAGUUACUCUAAGGAUAACAGGCUGAUCUCCCCCAAGAGUUCACAUCGACGGGGAGGUUUGGCACCUCGAUGUCGGCUCAUCGCAUCCUGGGGCGGUAGUACGUCCCAAGGGUUGGGCUGUUCGCCCAUGAAAGCGGUACGCGAGCUGGGUUCAGAACGUCGUGAGACAGUUCGGUCCAUAUCCGGUGUAGGCGUUAGAAUAUUGAGAGGAGCCUUCUUUAGUACGAGAGGACCGAGAAGGACAUACCUCUGGUGUACCAGUUAUCGUGCCAACGGUAAACGCUGGGUAGCUAUGUGUGGAGUGGAUAACCGCUGAAAGCAUCUAAGUGGGAAGCCCACCUCAAGAUAAGUAUUCUCAC
rnacentral:rRNA from 1 species